UAAGGCUGCUGUCCUGUAGUGCAGGAAGCGAACUCCCAAGGUAAAAUGUCUUUAGACAAAUAAAAAUGUCUUUAGAAGGCCUAGGCUCUCUAUGGGGUGAGACUGAAUGCUGAGGCCCAAUCUUGCCUCUGAUAGAGGAGGGCUUUCAACUGUUGGGGGCAGGGAACAGCUAGGAGCUUGGUAGGGAGGACUCUGUAUA
rnacentral:lncRNA from 1 species